AUGAACGCUGGCGGCGUGCCUAAUCCCUGCCAGUCGAGCGAACGGACGAGAAGCUUGCUUCUCUGAUGUUAGCGGCGGACGGGUGAGUAACACGUGGAUAACCUACCUAUAAGACUGGGAUAACUUCGGGAAACCGGAGCUAAUACCGGAUAAUAUUUUGAACCGCAUGGUUCAAAAGUGAAAGACGGUCUUGCUGUCACUUAUAGAUGGAUCCGCGCUGCAUUAGCUAGUUGGUAAGGUAACGGCUUACCAAGGCAACGAUGCAUAGCCGACCUGAGAGGGUGAUCGGCCACACUGGAACUGAGACACGGUCCAGACUCCUACGGGAGGCAGCAGUAGGGAAUCUUCCGCAAAGGGCGAAAGCCUGACGGAGCAACGCCGCGUGAGUGAUGAAGGUCUUCGGAUCGUAAAACUCUGUUAUUAGGGAAGAACAUAUGUGUAAGUAACUGUGCACAUCUUGACGGUACCUAAUCAGAAAGCCACGGCUAACUACGUG
rnacentral:rRNA from 1 species